rnacentral:rRNA from 1 species
AGUGAACGCUGGCGGUAGGCCUAACACAUGCAAGUCGAACGGCAGCACAGUAAGAGCUUGCUCUUACGGGUGGCGAGUGGCGGACGUGUGAGGAAUACAUCGGAAUCUACUUUUUCGUGGGGGAUAACGUAGGGAAACUUACGCUAAUACCGCAUACGACCUACGGGUGAAAGCAGGGGAUCUUCGGACCUGGCGCGUUUGAAUGGGCCGGUGUCGGAUUAGCUAGUUGGCGGGGUACAGGCCUACCAAGGCGACGAUGGGGAGCUGGACUGAGAGGGUGGUCGGCCACAGUGGGACGGAGAUACGGCCCAGACUCCUACGGGAGGCAGCAGUGGGGAAUAUGGCAGAAUGGGCGGAAGCAUGAUGCAGCAACGCCGCGUGCGGGAUGACUGCCGUCGGGUUGUAAACCGCUUUCGCCUGUGACGAAGCGUGAGUGACGGGAAUGGGUAAAGAAGAACCGGCUAACUACGUG